GUGCUCACUUGGGCAGUGCAUGUAUUGCAGUUGGAACAACACAGAGAAGAUAGCAUGACCUCUGCACAUGGAUUAACAAGUACACUUAUGACAUUAUCCAUAUUUUU
rnacentral:snRNA from 1 species